CGGGGCGAGUAAUGUCUGGGAAACUGCCUGAUGGAGGGGGAUAACUGCUGGAAACGGUAGCUAAUACCGCAUAACGUCGCAAGACCAAAGAGGGGGACCUUCGGGCCUCUUGCCAUCGGAUGUGCCCAGAUGGGAUUAGCUAGUAGGUGGGGUAACGGCUCACCUAGGCGACGAUCCCUAGCUGGUCUGAGAGGAUGGCCAGCCACACUGGAACUGAGACACGGUCCAG
rnacentral:rRNA from 1 species